UACAGAGGGGGCAAGCGUUGUUCGGAAUUACUGGGCGUAAAGCGUGCGCAGGCGGUUAUGCAAGACAGAUGUGAAAUCCCCGGGCUCAACCUGGGAACUGCAUUUGUGACUGUAUAGCUAGAGUACGGUAGAGGGGGAUGGAAUUCCGCGUGUAGCAGUGAAAUGCGUAGAUAUGCGGAGGAACACCGAUGGCGAAGGCAAUCCCCUGGACCUGUACUGACGCUCAUGCACGAAAGCGUGGGGAGCAAACAGG
rnacentral:rRNA from 1 species